AUGCAUGUCCUGAUAGCAUUUUUUUACUGAGCUCUGAACUUUGAAAGUUAUCAGUAACAGUUACAGAAUAUGCAUAGUUUUCCCACACGAGGGAUCCUUCGUAGCUCCAAACUUUUUCCUAUCUAUGCUGUGACCCUCAGAUGAAUAAACGGUUCAGUCUUGGCUGACCCGCCUGGCCCAUGUUUCUUCAUUUCACGCUCUCCUGUCAGGUGUGACUCUUAGUUGCAGGCAACAAGUGGCGCCUAGACAGGGACCUGAAGGAAACGGUAUGAGGGGAGCGGCUUUCUUGGAACUCCGGAGAAAACAAAAAAGGCAAAGAAACACCUUGGGGGCUCAACGCUGUGGAAACAAGUAGAUUUCUCUGAUCAGAGCAAGUGGUUAAUAAAAGACAUGAGCACAAUAAACCAUUGAUAAACCUGUCUGGAUUCGAGAGAAAAAUGUUCGAACCUGUUCCACUACUCACCGCCCAGAUGAAGGAAUUGAACCUGCAGCAGAAAUGGAAGCGAACUAUGAAGAGAAAGAAAAGACUUGCAAUGAUUCCCCUGAUCUCUACCCAGCCAUCAUAUGGACAUUGUGACCAGCAUUGGACUUAUUUUCCUUUAAAGCUUGUAUAAAACCCCACAAGCAUUUAUGAUAGCUUCUUCCUUCUCCAAUAGUUUAGAACCUGGAUUUGUGAACUUGGCACAAUCCAGUACUUUAGAAUGGAAUGUAACCUGUCUUAAUUGUAUUAUCAAGCAAUGUAUUGAUCAAAAUGACAAAAUUGUUCUAUUGGUUGAGCAACCAUCCUUUGAUGUUUUUUUCCCACUGACCUUUCUAAUGAAUGGUUCCAAUCUUCUAGGGAACAUGCCCUUCAACUCAUCUCAUCAUCACUACACAGGUCAAAAAUAUUUGUUGGGUUUCUCAUUACUGGAUUAAUUUCUGUCAUUUCCUUAAUUAUUAUAUCCACCCUGUCUUCUAUUGCAUUGCAGUCAGAGAUACAAGAUGCACGAUUUGUAAAUGAGCUUGUAAAAAAUAUUGGCUUAACCUUAUGAGCUCAAGAAGCUAUUGAUAGGGAUUUAUCAUAUAAAGUUAAUCUGUUAGAGCAAUCUGUGCUAUAUAUUGGAGAUGAACUUGCAGAAUCAGAAUUUAGAGCACAAUUGAAAUGUGAUUAUCAUUUUACUAUGAUAUGUGUUACUCCUAUAGCUUAUAACUCUAGUAUAGUACAUUGGGAUAUGAUCAAGAAUCAUUUAGAAGGUGUUUGGCAAAAUAGCAGUUAUGCAGCUGAUUUAUCUUUUCUUUCAAAUGUGACCCAGGCUAUUUCUGACAGUCUAUUCCUAGGGAUUCAUCCUCAAAGUUUACCACAAGAGAUCUUACAAAAAUUGGCCUCAAUAAAUAUAUUCAAAAAUAUCACUGAUUUAUUACUUCAUCUUUUUUCUUGGGGAAUUUUAUUAGUCCUAGUUUGCCUUGUUCUCCCGUGUGCAGCUGCACUGAUAAAGUCAUGGUUCAAAUCUCUAGCUACAGAUAUUCAUCACCUCAAGCUUCAACAAAGACUGAAAGGGGGAGAUGUAGAGGGCCAGCUCUGAUCAGUCCAGAAAAGGGUUAAAGAAUUCAGGUUGGAAUUUAACUCCUGCCUGUUCUUACCUUCAAGGGCUCACUUAAUCAGGAUGUUGGCUCACCAUUCUGCUAUUCAUUAAGGGGCUCCUGGAACUGCCCCAUGGUGACACAAUAAAAGUCUGGCAUGAGGAUAACAUGUGGCAAACUAGGGAGGACUAGUCACAUACUUUGAAUAAGAACCUGAGACAGCCCUGAGAAUGAUUGUCGAGGCCUAUUAAUUGACUGUUAAUCUCUAUCUUGUAACCAUUUGUUUAAAAUGAUGUAAUCCUUUUUUCUUGACACUUUUAUUGUAUGCUCUUUUGAUGCAUGUUCUGAAAGCAUUUUUUUACUGAGCUCUGAACCUUGGAAGUUAUCAGUAACAGUUACAGAAUAUGCAUAGUUUUCCCACGCAAGGGAUCCUUCAUAGUUCCAAACUUUUUCUGUGACCCUCAGAUGA